rnacentral:lncRNA from 1 species
CUCCAUUGUACAUACUUUUUAAUACGUUUCCUGUAAAACCUAUGCAUAUGUCGUCCACAGAACUCCGCACUUAGGUGGGCGAUUCUUAGCAGUACAGCAUGGUAGUUAAGAACAUGGACUUUGGAGCCAGAUGGCCAAAUCAUGGCCCUACCCUUGUGAAACUGACCACCCUGAGCAGUUGACUUCUGUCUUCAUGGUUCAAGGUAAAGAAGAAGGAAGAAAGAAUUUGGAAUGGGUGUUUACUGAGCGAAUUUAUUGUACCCGC